UGAGCUGAAAAAUAGGAUUAUCAAGUUACAUACUAUUGAGGCCAUGACUAUGAUAUCAUCUUCUUUAUUACGUGUAUGCUCUGAAGGAAAAUCAAAUGAGAAAAAUCUCUCUACAGCUUGAUAGGCAUACCAUGCAAGAAUGUUGUGAGAGCAAUUAACUUGAGAAGAGAAGAUGUGAAUGAUUAUGUCAGUGAUUAUCAUAAGACUAAGACAUACUUGGAAGCAUAUAGGAAGCUUGUUCUGCCUGUUCCAGAUCAAUCUAUGUGGCUAGCUUCAUCCCAACUACAAGUAAAUCCACCUAGAAUAAGAAGGCAACCUGGCAGACCAAGGAAGGAAAGAAUUAGACAUAAUGAUGAGCCAAGAAGAACACAAAGAUCAUGCACUGUCAAGUGCACUAGAUGCAAGUAGUAUGGGCACAAUUCUAGGGGUUGCAAAGGAGGACCAACAGCUUCAAGUCAAAGGCAGGGACAAAACAAUGAUGGUCUAGGAGAGUCACUUAAUGCCCAUAAUCAAAGCAAAAGGAGGUAAAGAAAGCUAAGGAACGAAAACCAAAAGCUGAAUAUGAGAAAUUCAAGAGGAUUUCAAGAAAGAAAAAAAAGAAGUCAACAUCUGGAGAAUGCAUCGGUCAGGGAGGAAUUCUUUUUUCUUUUUUUUUCCUUAUAAAAAUAAAUCUUAUUCUUGCUUUGUCUUUUGGUAGUUUUUCACAUUUUCCCCUUCAUUCCCUAGAGAAUUCACUCUUUAAUUUCAAUCUUGCACCUACAGGUAAUGUAGAGUCUUCUAUGGUUUCACCGAUUGGCCGUCCUACUGACAUAUGGAGGAAUGAUCUGAACCAAAUAAACACAUCAUAAAGAGGAGGUAAUGAGAAGAGUGUAAGAUACAGAAGUGUCUUUUCCCUUGUCUCAAAAAAAAUUUAAAUUUGUUGAGGUUACAUGUAUGUAAAUAUUGUCGAACAUAGGUUAUAACAUCUUUCCUCCGGUUGUUAUUGGUGUUCAAAAUGGAGGUGGGAUAUCAAAUGUUAUUUCAUAAGUUGCUCAACCUGUUCACACAAGGAGGAAGGGAUCAAGCACUUCACAAGUGGGAGCUAAUACACUUCACAAAUAUGAUCGGUUAAAUUUUUUGUUUUUCUUUUUAUUGUAAUUAAAUCAUGUACUCAAAUUUAGGAUGUUGGUGUUGGCACAUCUACUACCUCACUAAAGUCUAAGAACGUCAACCUGGGAAAUACAAGAAGAAAAUAAGAAAGGAGCCUGAAAGAGUGAACGAAGACGUAGCGAAAGACGCUAAGAGUGUUUCUGCAAGGACUGUUAGAGGACAACAAAGCUUUGCUACAGGAACAAACAUUGAUGCUACACAAAUAUGAGGACAAAUGUCAGGUGGAGGAACAAACAUUGCUGCUGAGAUGUGAUGAACUAGUCAAACAAUUUGCAUUAGUGUUAAUGAUGGAGUAAUUGCCAUUUUGAACAAUGUGGGCAAUUGUUUUGCAUUACUGUAUUCUCAUGCAAUUCUUGUCAUUUUGGACGGCAUGGCACAUUGAGUAAUUAUAUUUUGGGAAACAUGUUGCAAGCAAAUCUUGUAAUUUUGCACAUUUUAGUUGUUUAAUGAA